rfam:Catonella morbi ATCC 51271 genomic scaffold Scfld2, whole genome shotgun sequence.
UUUUAUGAGAGUUUGAUCCUGGCUCAGGAUGAACGCUGGCGGCGUGCCUAACACAUGCAAGUCGAACGGAGAUUACGGACGGAAGUUUUCGGAUGGAAGACUGUAAUUCUUAGUGGCGGACGGGUGAGUAACGCGUGGGCAACCUGCCCUAUACAGGGGGAUAGCAGCUGGAAACGGCUGGUAAGACCGCAUAAGUCGGUUAAAUCGCAUGAUUUGAUCGGGAAAUGAGCAAUCAGGUAUAGGAUGGGCCCGCGUCCGAUUAGCCAGUUGGCAGGGUAAAAGCCUACCAAAGCGACGAUCGGUAGCCGGACUGAGAGGUCGGACGGCCACAUUGGGACUGAGACACGGCCCAAACUCCUACGGGAGGCAGCAGUGGGGGAUAUUGCACAAUGGAGGAAACUCUGAUGCAGCGACGCCGCGUGAGUGAAGAAGUAUUUCGGUAUGUAAAGCUCUAUCAGCAGGGAAGAUGAUGACGGUACCUGACUAAGAAGCCCCGGCUAACUACGUGCCAGCAGCCGCGGUAAUACGUAGGGGGCAAGCGUUAUCCGGAUUUACUGGGUGUAAAGGGAGCGCAGGCGGUUUUGCAAGUUGAGAGUGGAAGCAGGGGGCUCAACCCCCUGACUGCUCCCAAAACUGUAAAACUUGAGUAUGGGAGAGGCAGGCGGAAUUCCUAGUGUAGCGGUGAAAUGCUUAGAUAUUAGGAAGAACACCGGUGGCGAAGGCGGCCUGCUGGACCAAAACUGACGCUGAGGCUCGAAAGCGUGGGUAGCAAACAGGAUUAGAUACCCUGGUAGUCCACGCUGUAAACGAUGAAUACUAGGUGCUGGGAUGCAUAAGCAUUUCGGUGCCGUCGCAAACGCAUUAAGUAUUCCACCUGGGGAGUACGUUCGCAAGAAUGAAACUCAAAGGAAUUGACGGGGACCCGCACAAGCGGUGGAGCAUGUGGUUUAAUUCGACGCAACGCGAAGAACCUUACCCGGUCUUGAGAUCCUCCUGAAUACUGAGUAAUGUCAGUAGUCCUUCGGGACAGGAGAGACAGGUGGUGCAUGGUUGUCGUCAGCUCGUGUCGUGAGAUGUUGGGUUAAGUCCCGCAACGAGCGCAACCCCUAUUUUUAGUAGCCAGCGGUUAGGCCGGGCACUCUAAAGAGACUGCCGAGGAUAACUCGGAGGAAGGCGGGGAUGACGUCAAAUCAUCAUGCCCCUUAUGACCGGGGCUACACACGUGCUACAAUGGCAGUUACAGAGGGAAGCGAAGAUGUGAAUCGGAGCAAAUCUCAGAAAGGCUGCCUCAGUUCGGAUUGUAGUCUGCAACUCGACUACAUGAAGCUGGAAUCGCUAGUAAUCGCGAAUCAGAAUGUCGCGGUGAAUACGUUCCCGGGUCUUGUACACACCGCCCGUCACACCAUGGGAGUCGGAAAUGCCCGAAGUCAGUGGCCUAACCGUAAGGGAGGAGCUGCCGAAGGCAGGUCUGGUGACUGGGGUGAAGUCGUAACAAGGUAGCCGUAUCGGAAGGUGCGGCUGGAUCACCUCCUUU